rnacentral:rRNA from 1 species
AAUGAACGCUGGCGGCAUGCUUUACACAUGCAAGUCGAACGGCAGCGCGGGGCAACCUGGCGGCGAGUGGCGAAAGGGUGAGUAAUACAUCGGAACGUACCCAGAAGUGGGGGAUAACGUAGCGCAAGUUACGCUAAUACCGCAUACGUUCUACGGAAGAAAGUGGGGGACCUUCGGGCCUCAUGCUUUUGGAGCGGCCGAUGUCUGAUUAGCGAGUUGGUAGGGUAAAGGCCUACAAAGGCGACGGUCAGUCGCUGGUCUGAGAGGAAGACCAGCCACACUGGGACUGAGACAGGGCCCAGACGCCUACGGGGUGCAGCAGUGGGGAAUUUUGGACAAGGAGCACAAGCCUGAUCCAGCAAUGCCGGGGGAGUGAAGAAGGCCUUCGGGUUGUAAAGCUCUUUUGUCAGGGAAGAAACGUCUGAGGAUAAUACCUUCGGCUAAUGACGGUACCUGAAGAAUAAGCACCGGCUAACUACGUGCCAGCAGCCGCAGUAACAC